AACCUUAGUCAGUUGAUCUUCGGCUUCCACUUUGUGAAGUUUGGCAUGGUGAAGUCUUGGUAGAUUUUUUUUUACGAUAUUACCUUCGAAUACAAUACGUUAAAUACUCGUAUUGUCAACGAUCAUCCAAUUGCAUUUCAAUACACUGUACAUCUAUAGUGUUUAUUCGUGCAUAUAACAAGAAGUACGCCCAAGCAAGAUGCUCAAAACUGCUUUACUGAUGUGGGUUACCGCAGCUCUGGUGACAGCUCUGAGCGUCGUCCCGGCGUCGGCGGCGAAGAAGCACAAGGAGGAGAGCACCAAUGUGGUGUCCGCGGACGGGCACUACAGCGGUAACGACAUCGUCAACGGUGGCGGCGACGAGGCGAAAGCGAACGACCACGACGGGAAACGGUUCCCAGUCAGGCACGUGGUGACCGCAGAAGACGAGCUGUCGGCGGCUGCGACGGAACCGGCGGCCGCGGGGGUGCAGGUAAAGUCGGCCAAGCAGCAGUCGUCCGCGAAGCAGCACAAUGCCAAGCUGCUGAACCGACUGGGCAUGAAAAGGGUGCGGACGAACGGUGACAGGGUGGGUAACGGUAACGGUGGCGCGAACCAUCACCGGAAGCGGUUGGCCAGCCAGUCGAGGAGCAAGUACGCGGCGGGCGGUGCGGACGGCAAAGGCCCCUUGGACUCGCAGAUGUUCGUGGUCAAGCUACCGCCGCAUGCUCACUUCUACGACGACGGCUCCAUGCACCAGAAGCUGCAGCACCAUCAGAACCAGCAGACGCCGUACAAGAGCCUAAACACCGUGCCGGUGGGCUUCGUGUCCAACGGCAAGCCCGCCAAGGUGUAUCACUGGAACUUGCCGACCAUCAAACACGCGCUGCAGGGCGGCCGGUUCAAGAACUCCAACGACAUGCAUCACCACCAGUACAAGCAGCCAAGUGACUUCGACUCGCCGUCCGCGGCCGGUUCGAAAAUCGUACCGCGGCGCACGUUCUACUACAAGCCCAGGGCCGCUGGCAAGCCGGUGAAAAAGUCGUUCGUCAACAAUGGCAAGCCGAACGGGUUCUACGUGGUCAGCAGCAAGAACGCAGCAGCCGUACCGCAGUACCACAAAAUCGUGAAGGCGUACUACGGCGGCGGCGACGAUUGAACAACACACGCAUUCAGUCCCGCAUCGUGUAAGUCCACAUCACAUCACCCGUGCGCUGCACGUCGUACGCGCACCAUCUAAGGUUAUGGGAGUUGGAGUGCACACGGCCGUAACAAGUGUUCAACAAGUUAUACUAGACCGUCUAAAAAAUGAACUUGUAUUCUUUUUUAUUUUUAUUUAUUAUUUCGCCAGAAUGCUGUAUUUUGUAAAUAUCGUAUCGUAGU